GAUGAACGCUGGCGGCGUGCCUAAUACAUGCAAGUCGAGCGAACGGACGAGAAGCUUGCUUCUCUGAUGUUAGCGGCGGACGGGUGAGUAACACGUGGAUAACCUACCUAUAAGACUGGGAUAACUUCGGGAAACCGGAGCUAAUACCGGAUAAUAUUUUGAACCGCAUGGUUCAAAAGUGAAAGACGGUCUUGCUGUCACUUAUAGAUGGAUCCGCGCUGCAUUAGCUAGUUGGUAAGGUAACGGCUUACCAAGGCAACGAUGCAUAGCCGACCUGAGAGGGUGAUCGGCCACACUGGAACUGAGACACGGUCCAGACUCCUACGGGAGGCAGCAGUAGGGAAUCUUCCGCAAUGGGCGAAAGCCUGACGGAGCAACGCCGCGUGAGUGAUGAAGGUCUUCGGAUCGUAAAACUCUGUUAUUAGGGAAGAACAUAUGUGUAAGUAACUGUGCACAUCUUGACGGUACCUAAUCAGAAAGCCACGGCUAACUACGUGCCAGCAGCCGCGGUAAUACGUAGGUGGCAAGCGUUAUCCGGAAUUAUUGGGCGUAAAGCGCGCGUAGGCGGUUUUUUAGGUCUGAUGUGAAAGCCCACGGCUCAACCGUGGAGGGUCAUUGGAAACUGGAAAACUUGAGUGCAGAAGAGGAAAGUGGAAUUCCAUGUGUAGCGGUGAAAUGCGCAGAGAUAUGGAGGAACACCAGUGGCGAAGGCGACUUUCUGGUCUGUAACUGACGCUGAUGUGCGAAAGCGUGGGGAUCAAACAGGAUUAGAUACCCUGGUAGUCCACGCCGUAAACGAUGAGUGCUAAGUGUUAGGGGGUUUCCGCCCCUUAGUGCUGCAGCUAACGCAUUAAGCACUCCGCCUGGGGAGUACGACCGCAAGGUUGAAACUCAAAGGAAUUGACGGGGACCCGCACAAGCGGUGGAGCAUGUGGUUUAAUUCGAAGCAACGCGAAGAACCUUACCAAAUCUUGACAUCCUUUGACAACUCUAGAGAUAGAGCUUUCCCCUUCGGGGGACAAAGUGACAGGUGGUGCAUGGUUGUCGUCAGCUCGUGUCGUGAGAUGUUGGGUUAAGUCCCGCAACGAGCGCAACCCUUAAGCUUAGUUGCCAUCAUUAAGUUGGGCACUCUAAGUUGACUGCCGGUGACAAACCGGAGGAAGGUGGGGAUGACGUCAAAUCAUCAUGCCCCUUAUGAUUUGGGCUACACACGUGCUACAAUGGACAAUACAAAGGGCAGCGAAACCGCGAGGUCAAGCAAAUCCCAUAAAGUUGUUCUCAGUUCGGAUUGUAGUCUGCAACUCGACUACAUGAAGCUGGAAUCGCUAGUAAUCGUAGAUCAGCAUGCUACGGUGAAUACGUUCCCGGGUCU
rnacentral:rRNA from 1 species